UGGGGAAUCUUGGACAAUGGGCGCAAGCCUGAUCCAGCCAUGCCGCGUGCAGGAUGACGGUCCUAUGGAUUGUAAACUGCUUUUGUACAGGAAGAAACAGUUCUACGUGUAGAACCUUGACGGUACUGUAAGAAUAAGGAUCGGCUAACUCCGUGCCAGCAGCCGCGGUAAUACGGAGGAUCCAAGCGUUAUCCGGAAUCAUUGGGUUUAAAGGGUCCGUAGGCGGUUAGAUAAGUCAGUGGUGAAAGCCCAUCGCUCAACGGUGGAACGGCCAUUGAUACUGUCUGACUUGAAUUAUUAGGAAGUAACUAGAAUAUGUAGUGUAGCGGUGAAAUGCUUAGAGAUUACAUGGAAUACCAAUUGCGAAGGCAGGUUACUACUAAUGGAUUGACGCUGAUGGACGAAAGCGUGGGUAGCGAACAGGAUUAGAUACCCUAGUAGUCCCUGAGCGGGCUGGCAAGGCGCAU
rnacentral:rRNA from 1 species